GGCCAGGUAGCUCAGUCGGUAGAGCAGGGGACUGAAAAUCCCCGUGUCGGUGGUUCGAUUCCACCCCCCGGCCACCA
rnacentral:tRNA from 1 species